UCUACCAAACUAAAAGACAUUUUCUUCUCAAAGCUAUGGCUGCCAACGAACGGAGACACUAGAUCUGGAAGCAGAGUUCUUUUGGAGGUUUUGUUUAUCAACUGAAAUUGAGAGAUUUGUCUCGACAAAUCAAGCAGUGGGAGAAGAGAUGAGGUUAACAGCUGCGGUUGUUUAUUGUAUCUUGAUUAGUUGAGGCAGUGGUGGUCAAUUCUACAACAUCAACAUCAAUUGAAAUUAAGUUAUCAUAUGGAUCAGUUUCGGGGGCUAUUUGGGGCUGGUAUUAGGGUCUUCAAUCAACCCAGACACAAAAAUUCUUUUUUUUUUGCAGUUCAAUUGCUCUUAAUGAGUGCAGGCACUCUUGGUUUUUGUACAUCAGCAAUGGAUUAUUAACGGUGGAAAUCAGUGAAGGCAACAAAUGGAUUUCAGGGGUUCGUACUCGGACUGAAAUUGGGUAUCUUUUGCGAGAUCGAUCUGUGGUGUUUUAAUUCAAGCCAAUCAUUUCAUUUGUUUCCCAACAGCAACGAUUGAAUCUGAGGGUUCUCAUGUGGGUAUGCAACAUGGAUUGGAGUUACAGCAGCGACGAACACAUAUUUUUGGGGGUUUCUGUUGUAAUCUGAAUGGAUGAUUGAGCGACAGAAUUUGGGGGUUAAGUGAUUCAAGUUUGGGUCUUUAUGGAUGUUCAAACGGAGGACGAGAUUGUAGUCUGUUGUGAUGUUUAUGGUAGUCGUGUAUGUAUGGAAGAAGCAUGGAAUUUCAGAUGCCAUGUGGGUGCUAUAAAGAAGUGGAGUUUGUUGUACGGAGUGAGCAGAAAUGGAAUUUGUGUUUAGCUAUUGAUAUUACUCGGAGAAGAAAUGGAAGCUGAAGUUAGAUUGAGAAGAUAGUUUGGGUGUUUGGUUGGGCUAAUUACAGUUUGUGGUAUCUCUAUUACUCGCAAUGGGUUCUGUUUGUUGGAUUUUGGAAGUAGUGGCUAGAUUUGGUGAAGGCCCGAGUUUGGUCAGAAUCAGAAUUGGUGCCUGGUCAGUUGAGGAAGAGAUAAAACUAUUCCCCCAAUCCAGGAAGGGUUUGAAUCAGUCAUUAGAGAUGGGUGUGUUGUGUACCCAAUGGAGAGAUGAAUAAGGUAGGAAAACAGGGUUGAAUCCGAAAGUCAGAGAACAAGUCACAGAUGUUGUGUAUAAAGGAGGACAACAGUCAACCGAUAAGGCAUCCCAAGCAUAUCGUCAUCGUAAUCAGAAGGGCAAGAACGAGCCUAUGAGAUAAAGAGUCAGAAUGAACCAAUCUCAUUCCAGUCAAUGCUCAGGAGUUUAAAAAACAUUUUAGUUGUGACUCAGCAGUACAAACACCAAACAACUUAAAGUCAAGGCCUCUUUCAAUUGAGCUCAAUGGAGUUUGGCAAAUUUUCAAAUCCACUGGAGAGGCUAGAUACUCAUUUUUCUGGAGACAAAACCUUAUUACACAUUUCGGAGAGGAUCGAUGGAGUUUACUCAGGAUUUGAUGAAAUUUCAAAAUCGUGAAAGUUAUACGUACAACUAAAGUUCAUACUUGCAAAAAGAAGCAGAAAGAACAAGAUGUACUUACCUUGCCGCUGACGAUUGGUACGCUGGUGAUGGAGCUGCUGACAGUGAGAAGAGGAGCCGACUGCUGCAAACAAAAGCACGGAGCCG